rnacentral:sRNA from 14 species
UCUCUCCACACCCGGAAUAGAGAAGGACUGUUCUUGGGUCAAGGGUAAAUGAGUGCUGUGCUCCCCUGCUAGAAUAUCCAAGCAAGCUCUCAAGGUCCAAAGGCCCAUGCAUUGUGGUUUGGU